ACUCAAAUGAAUUGACGGGGACCCGCACAAGCGGUGGAGUAUGUGGUUUAAUUCGACGCUACGCGAAAAACCUUACCAACUCUUGACAUAUCGAUUAUGAGAGGCAGAGACGCUUCUCUUCAGUUCGGCUGGGUCGAUACAGGUGUUGCAUGGCUGUCGUCAGCUCGUGUCGUGAGAUGUUGGGUUAAGUCCCGCAACGAGCGCAACCCUUAUCCUUAGUUACCAGCGAAUAAUGUCGGGCACUCUAAGGAAACUGCCGGCGACAAGCCGGAGGAAGGUGAGGACGAUGUCAAGUCAUCAUGGCCCUUACGAGUUGGGCUACACACGUACUACAAUGGCGGUGACAACGGGAAGCAAAAGGGCAACCUUGAGCAAAUCCUUUAAAAGCCGUCUCAGUUCGGAUUGAGGUCUGCAACUCGACCUCAUGAAGUCGGAAUCGCUAGUAAUCGCGGAUCAGCAUGUCGCGGUGAAUACGUUCACGGGUCUUGUACACACCGCCCGU
rnacentral:rRNA from 1 species